GGGUUGUGAGGUUAAGCGACUAAGCGUACACGGUGGAUGCCCUGGCAGUCAGAGGCGAUGAAGGACGUGCUAAUCUGCGAUAAGCGUCGGUAAGGUGAUAUGAACCGUUAUAACCGGCGAUUUCCGAAUGGGGAAACCCAGUGUGUUUCGACACACUAUCAUUAACUGAAUCCAUAGGUUAAUGAGGCGAACCGGGGGAACUGAAACAUCUAAGUACCCCGAGGAAAAGAAAUCAACCGAGAUUCCCCCAGUAGCGGCGAGCGAACGGGGAGGAGCCCAGAGCCUGAAUCAGUGUGUGUGUUAGUGGAAGCGUCUGGAAAGGCGCGCGAUACAGGGUGACAGCCCCGUACACAAAAAUGCACAUAUUGUGAGCUCGAUGAGUAGGGCGGGACACGUGGUAUCCUGUCUGAAUAUGGGGGGACCAUCCUCCAAGGCUAAAUACUCCUGACUGACCGAUAGUGAACCAGUACCGUGAGGGAAAGGCGAAAAGAACCCCGGCGAGGGGAGUGAAAAAGAACCUGAAACCGUGUACGUACAAGCAGUGGGAGCCUCUUAAUGGGGUGACUGCGUACCUUUUGUAUAAUGGGUCAGCGACUUAUAUUCUGUAGCAAGGUUAACCGAAUAGGGGAGCCGAAGGGAAACCGAGUCUUAACUGGGCGUUAAGUUGCAGGGUAUAGACCCGAAACCCGGUGAUCUAGCCAUGGGCAGGUUGAAGGUUGGGUAACACUAACUGGAGGACCGAACCGACUAAUGUUGAAAAAUUAGCGGAUGACUUGUGGCUGGGGGUGAAAGGCCAAUCAAACCGGGAGAUAGCUGGUUCUCCCCGAAAGCUAUUUAGGUAGCGCCUCGUGAAUUCAUCUCCGGGGGUAGAGCACUGUUUCGGCAAGGGGGUCAUCCCGACUUACCAACCCGAUGCAAACUGCGAAUACCGGAGAAUGUUAUCACGGGAGACACACGGCGGGUGCUAACGUCCGUCGUGAAGAGGGAAACAACCCAGACCGCCAGCUAAGGUCCCAAAGUCAUGGUUAAGUGGGAAACGAUGUGGGAAGGCCCAGACAGCCAGGAUGUUGGCUUAGAAGCAGCCAUCAUUUAAAGAAAGCGUAAUAGCUCACUGGUCGAGUCGGCCUGCGCGGAAGAUGUAACGGGGCUAAACCAUGCACCGAAGCUGCGGCAGCGACACUAUGUGUUGUUGGGUAGGGGAGCGUUCUGUAAGCCUGUGAAGGUAGCCUGUGAGGGUUGCUGGAGGUAUCAGAAGUGCGAAUGCUGACAUAAGUAACGAUAAAGCGGGUGAAAAGCCCGCUCGCCGGAAGACCAAGGGUUCCUGUCCAACGUUAAUCGGGGCAGGGUGAGUCGAUCCCUAAGGCGAGGCCGAAAGGCGUAGUCGAUGGGAAACAGGUUAAUAUUCCUGUACUUGGUGUUACUGCGAAGGGGGGACGGAGAAGGCUAUGUUGGCCGGGCGACGGUUGUCCCGGUUUAAGCGUGUAGGCUGGUUUUCCAGGCAAAUCCGGAAAAUCAAGGCUGAGGCGUGAUGACGAGGCACUACGGUGCUGAAGUGACAAAUGCCCUGCUUCCAGGAAAAGCCUCUAAGCAUCAGGUAAUAUCAAAUCGUACCCCAAACCGACACAGGUGGUCAGGUAGAGAAUACCAAGGCGCUUGAGAGAACUCGGGUGAAGGAACUAGGCAAAAUGGUGCCGUAACUUCGGGAGAAGGCACGCUGAUAUGUAGGUGAAGCGACUUGCUCGUGGAGCUGAAAUCAGUCGAAGAUACCAGCUGGCUGCAACUGUUUAUUAAAAACACAGCACUGUGCAAACACGAAAGUGGACGUAUACGGUGUGACGCCUGCCCGGUGCCGGAAGGUUAAUUGAUGGGGUUAGCGGUAACGCGAAGCUCUUGAUCGAAGCCCCGGUAAACGGCGGCCGUAACUAUAACGGUCCUAAGGUAGCGAAAUUCCUUGUCGGGUAAGUUCCGACCUGCACGAAUGGCGUAAUGAUGGCCAGGCUGUCUCCACCCGAGACUCAGUGAAAUUGAACUCGCUGUGAAGAUGCAGUGUACCCGCGGCAAGACGGAAAGACCCCGUGAACCUUUACUAUAGCUUGACACUGAACAUUGAGCCUUGAUGUGUAGGAUAGGUGGGAGGCUUUGAAGUGUGGACGCCAGUCUGCAUGGAGCCGACCUUGAAAUACCACCCUUUAAUGUUUGAUGUUCUAACGUUGGCCCGUAAUCCGGGUUGCGGACAGUGUCUGGUGGGUAGUUUGACUGGGGCGGUCUCCUCCUAAAGAGUAACGGAGGAGCACGAAGGUUGGCUAAUCCUGGUCGGACAUCAGGAGGUUAGUGCAAUGGCAUAAGCCAGCUUGACUGCGAGCGUGACGGCGCGAGCAGGUGCGAAAGCAGGUCAUAGUGAUCCGGUGGUUCUGAAUGGAAGGGCCAUCGCUCAACGGAUAAAAGGUACUCCGGGGAUAACAGGCUGAUACCGCCCAAGAGUUCAUAUCGACGGCGGUGUUUGGCACCUCGAUGUCGGCUCAUCACAUCCUGGGGCUGAAGUAGGUCCCAAGGGUAUGGCUGUUCGCCAUUUAAAGUGGUACGCGAGCUGGGUUUAGAACGUCGUGAGACAGUUCGGUCCCUAUCUGCCGUGGGCGCUGGAGAACUGAGGGGGGCUGCUCCUAGUACGAGAGGACCGGAGUGGACGCAUCACUGGUGUUCGGGUUGUCAUGCCAAUGGCACUGCCCGGUAGCUAAAUGCGGAAGAGAUAAGUGCUGAAAGCAUCUAAGCACGAAACUUGCCCCGAGAUGAGUUCUCCCUGACUCCUUGAGAGUCCUGAAGGAACGUUGAAGACGACGACGUUGAUAGGCCGGGUGUGUAAGCGCAGCGAUGCGUUGAGCUAACCGGUACUAAUGAACCGUGAGGCUUAACCUUACAACGCCGAAG
rnacentral:rRNA from 1 species